GCCAGCAUGAUGUAAUGGUUUGAAUGUUGGACUAUGACUCUGGAGAUCAGGGUUCGAAUCCCCGCUCAGCCA